UGGCUUUCGAACACUAAUUUAUCACACAGAUACCUGUAUGUCAUUUAUGUACCAUAGCUACUGAUAGCAAGCGUAUACUAUAAAUUACUCUACCCUAGCUAGAGAUAAUGAAAGAUAAAAUUAAUCAUGCAGAACUUAUUACUUUCUUUCCGUAAAAGUAAUUUUCCUGUUACAGUGAACGUUGGAAAUUGGUUCGUGGAUUUGGAGUAAUUGAUAACACUUUAUGAAGAAUCAAAACAAUUCAUUUGCCAAUAUUACACAAGACAGUUCAAAGAUACGUUUACAGCCGUCGAAAAACUACGAUAAACACACUGAAACAACCAGCAACAAAAUCUUCAAGCUAUGACGGCGAAGACAGCUUCACGGCAAAGCACUAAAGUACUGCUCCAGACUCUGUCGAUCGCUCUCAAGCUAAGGCACUCUACUGAAUACAAGAUACUCCUAACACGUGUGCAGUAGUUUGCAAGCUCACCAUGUUUCGGAUUCGACAAACCUCUUCAUGUGUUUCAGGCCAGCUUCUCCCACCUCACUGUCCUUUCUUUUACAAGGCUAUCUCAACAAGCUCCAUCUUUGGACUUUUAUAUACGUCAGGACCCCGAGGAAACUCAUUGAGGAA